CGAUCCUAAGACAUAGGGAAACUCCGUUUGAAAGCGCGCCCUCGUGCGCCGUCCGUCGAAAGGGAAGCCGGUUAACAUUCCGGCACCUGGAUGUGGAUUCUCCACGGCAACGUAACUGAACGCGGAGACGUCGGCGGGGGUCCUGGGAAGAGUUAUCUUUUCUUCUUGACGGCCUAUCACCCUGAAAUCGGUUUGUCCGGAGCUAGGGUUCAAUGGCCGGCAGAGCCCCGCACCUUUGCGGGGUCCGGUGCGCCUCCGACGACCCUUGAAAAUCCGCGGGAAGGAAUAGUUUUCACGCCAGGUCGUACUCAUAACCGCAGCAGGUCUCCAAGGUGAAAAGCCUCUAGUUGAUAGA
rnacentral:rRNA from 1 species